rnacentral:piRNA from 1 species
AAGGAUGAGCACUUCACAAAGAGAGUC